UACGUAGGGUGCAAGCGUUGUCCGGAAUUAUUGGGCGUAAAGCGUGCGUAGGUGGUUUGUUAAGUCUGAUGUGAAAGCCCUGGGCUCAACCUGGGAACUGCAUUGGAAACUGGCUUACUAGAGUGCGGUAGAGGGGUGUGGAAUUCCCGGUGUAGCAGUGAAAUGCGUAGAUAUCGGGAGGAACAUCUGUGGCGAAGGCGACACCCUGGACCAGCACUGACACUGAGGCACGAAAGCGUGGGGAGCAAACAGG
rnacentral:rRNA from 1 species